CCCCUGACCAAGGCAGCAUCUCGACAUCUGGAGUUGGUCCCAGGGCGCCGCACCACUCAUCCUAGUGGUUGGAUCGUGGCUAACUGUAAUUACGAUGGGUUAAAUUCAGAGGACAAAUUUUGUUGUAUUCAUUGACAAUAAAGGCU